UGCGGGUUUUGGGUUCGAGUCGUGCACAGCGAACUCUCCACAAAUUCUUUCAUCUAAAUUUCCAAUUUUGCAUAUUUCAAGCCGGCAUCAUUUCUUAAAUUCCUGUGCAAAUUAAGCCGUUUUGGGACAAGACGUUCUCAUCGUCCUUCGGAAUCUUGGAAUAGGUUUACAAGCUAAUUCAACAGGAAUAAUUGAGCCGUUUUGGGACAAGAGGUUUUCAUCCUCCUUCUGAAUCUUGGAAUAGGUUUACAAACUGAUACAAUCAGGAAAUUGAUCAGUGGUGGGACAAGACGUUUUGAUUGUCAUCUUCUUCCUGGAUCUGGUAAUGGACUAUUACUAAUAGUUUUAUAAGCUAAUACAAUCAGAUUUGGGACACGACAAUUUCCUACUCCUCCUUCGUCUUCCGAUAGCUUUAAGGAAAUAUAAUCAGGAAAUAGUAAUUAAUCAGUUUUGUAACAAGCCAAUUUCCUCCUCCUGCAUCUUCUAAUAAUUUUACCACCAAUACAUACAAUCAGGUGCUAUAAUUGUUAACUAUAAUUAACCAGUGAGGUUUGGGACAAGACAAUUUCCUCCUCUUCCCGGGCCUUCUAAUAUAUAGCUUUUCAAUCAGCAACGAUAAGAUGGAGGUCAAUCGAAACUCUGCCCAGCCAGUCCGACCCCCCACGAUUCGCCCGGCCGGAGAAAGUGACGAGUACAGCAGUGACGGCGAAGGUUACGAAAUGUCCGGUCCAGUCAGGAACAAGAAGAAGAACACGUUCUUCCCAAAACCAACCAUCGUCCCGGCCAACACAAAUGGACGAAUUCAUUAUGACGAAGACGAGUGGGGAUCGGUGCCUUCUUCAAAUAAUUAUACGGAUUAUUAUUCGUCACAACCCGUCCCGCCAGAACCGGUGGUUAUCUCGACAUCCGAAUCAGCAAGGAUUGCUUGUUCACGAGGCGAAAUUAAUAAGGUGCAGAAGCUCUUAGACGAUGGCUCCAUCCAAAUAAACUGCUGCCUCCCCGACGACACCACGCCACUAAUCACUGCCUCCGCCUACGCUUAUCCCGCCCUCGUUGAAUUUCUCAUCGAAAAGGGCGCCGACGUUACCCACUUCAGCCACGGUUUAGACAAAACCACCCCCCUCAUCGCCGCCGUCUCCUGCACGCGCCCCUCCGCCACGGAGGACGACGUUCUCGCCUGUGUCAAACUCCUCGUCGAGAAAGGCUCCCCCCUCAACACGCAAGGUCACUCCGCCCUCACCGCGCUCGUCAUCGCCAUAAAACGUCGCCACGAUCGACACGCCGUUGCCGAAUAUCUCCUCCAACACGGCGCCAACCCCGACGUCCUAGAUUUCGCCGGGCGAACCCCACUCUUCCACGCGGCGGAAGUCGGCGAUGGAAAAUCCUGCCGUUUACUCCUCGAACACAACGCCAACGUCAACAUCAUCGACGACAGCGGGUGGUCCUGCCUCGACGUCGCGGGGGAUAAAGGAUUCUACGCGCUGAGCGAGCUACUCUACAAAGUCCGCAUCACAAAAUGGAAACCCGGGCAAGAUCCCGCUCUCAUGAAGGAGAUUAAGGACGCUACAACGCGCGCCAAAGAGAUGGCCGCGGGGGAAGGGGGUGCCCCACAAAUUCGGGAAGAUUCUCAAAUCGAAAUGCUCCUCAGUGCCAUCAAUGCGGAAAAAUAUAAGGAAAAUUUCCGCCAGCAUAAAGUCACCUACUUCCAAUUUCUCCAGUUUGACGAGGAAGAUCUCAAAGCUGUCGGGAUUGAGGAGGUCGGGAUCCGGAAAAAGGUGAUGGAAUCAAUCCGCGAAGCGCACAGUACGGAUUGGGCGAGAUCUUCGGUGAAUAUGGUGCCCGUUAAUAAAAGAUGUACCGGAACGGAAACCGUUUGUAUCGUGAAUAACAUCAAUUUUCAUGUGGAACAUAUUCACACGACGAUUCGCACGUUGACCAAGAGGAUUUUGAAGGACCCGACGAGUCUCCGGUUGGGGAGGGAAAGGAGCCAGAUUUCAAGUAUUUUGUCGCGGCUGAAGGACUUGGAUAAGAAUAAUUUUAUCCUGCAUGAAGAACUGUUGAAGAUGAAGCAACUUUUUGAUAGGCUGAAGAACAAUGCGGAACUUCAGCUCGGUGAUAAGUUUGAAUUGGAACCGAACGAUAUGCAAGAAUUUCUCGAGAGGUGGAAUGCUGUCGAUAAGAGUAAGGAUAAGAAGAAGGCGAAUGGAGGGAAGAAAUGGGCGUUAUUGGGGGUGGGAGGUGCCUUAUUUGUUACGGCGAUUGCUUGGAAGUCCUGGUCUCGAUGAUGACUCCGGUGCUAAUCAAAUAUUUUCUACAUAGAUGACCUAUUUUUAAUAUGUACCGCUGACUCAGAAUGGAAGUCUCCUAGCUCCUCCAUUGUCCGUCGUGUUCAGAUAUUUAAAUGAUCUUACUUAUAAGAUACUUGUUACUCGUAUAUAUACUUUUAAACUGGUUAACCCUUAGCCAUGGGAGACCGUUUAAAAACGUUUUGGAGUUUUUGUUUUAAUUCGGGAUGCCGUGAAAAGCCGUUCAUAAAAAAAAUGUCUGCCUUCGGGGUCAACGGCUUUUCACGUUUUCACGUUUCCAUGUCAGGUGCGGGACAACGGAUAUUUCCGUGGUAAAAAUUAUUUAGCUGAUUCGGGAAACGGCAAAACACGUUGGCACUAAAAACUAAAAUUAUUAGGGCCUUGGAUCAGAAUUGUCCGUGGUAACACUAGGUCACUUUCAUGUAACUUCGCCCCAGCUUUGCAUUGGAUGGGUUGCAUGCAAAAUUUUUGACUCUGGUUUACUAACUGCUAACACUUAUUUAGGAUACAAAAUAUGUAUGAGGUACAACCAGUGACGCCAAUAAAUAAAGGGCUAUAUACACUUUAAAUCAUUCAUUAAUUAUCCAAGUGAUCUCCUGGUCUAGACUGACUUCUUGGUUGCAUUUAAAAAUUAAAAUAUGACGUAAGUAUGCAUAAGGUUAGUCAGAACUCUUGAUCCAAGUUUAAAAAAAUUCACUAUGGAUGUUAUGCAAGUCCACAAACAUGUGGGGUUUGGGACAAUAGCUUUACAAAUUUCAGUUUUGCAUAAUCAUAAUUUUGCACCAUAGUCAGAGUCAUAGUUCAUAAUUAACUCGUCAUAAUUCUCUAAUUAUCAUGCAACUUUGCUUUACAAUGUUACAUUAUUAAAUUUUAAUAUUCAUCAUUUUAAAUAUUAUAUUUAUUGACUUUGUCCCGCACCUAAUUUUCUCCCGUGUUUUGCCGUUCUCCCGAAUUGAGCAUUUAAAAAAUCCUCCCGAAUCUAAGCAACUCAAAUAUCAAAAGUUUCCAGAUUUGGAACUUGUGAGAUUUUAAUUAUUUUUCGGCUUCCCGAAUGACAACUAUUGUGGUCAACGAAACGCCCCGCAACAACGCCAAACAUAGUUACCGUUUUCCCUCGGCUAAGGGUUAAUUAUUAAACUUAAUAAUUAUGAGAAUUGGUAUUUAACUAUUUAAUAAGUAUAGUUUUUUACAUAGAAAGGAAAGCUAUUGUUACCAACUCGUCUAUAAUAAUAAACCGAUUAAUUACUAAACUGAA